UAGGGAAUCUUCCGCAAUGGGCGAAAGCCUGACGGAGCAACGCCGCGUGAGUGAUGAAGGUCUUCGGAUCGUAAAACUCUGUUAUUAGGGAAGAACAAAUGUGUAAGUAACUAUGCACGUCUUGACGGUACCUAAUCAGAAAGCCGCGGCUAACUACGUGCCAGCAGCCGCGGUAAUACGUAGGUGGCAAGCGUUAUCCGGAAUUAUUGGGCGUAAAGCGCGCGUAGGCGGUUUUUUAAGUCUGAUGUGAAAGCCCACGGCUCAACCGUGGAGGGUCAUUGGAAACUGGAAAACUUGAGUGCAGAAGAGGAAAGUGGAAUUCCAUGUGUAGCGGUGAAAUGCGCAGAGAUAUGGAGGAACACCAGUGGCGAAGGCGACUUUCUGGUCUGUAACUGACGCUGAUGUGCGAAAGCGUGGGGAUCAAACAGG
rnacentral:rRNA from 1 species